CCUACGGGAGGCAGCAGUGAGGAAUAUUGGUCAAUGGCCGCAAGGCUGAACCAGCCAAGGCGCGUGAAGGAAGAAGGACCUAUGGUUUGUAAACUUCUGUUAUAGGGGAAUAAAGGGAGGCACGUGUGGAUAUUUGCAUGUACCCUAUGAAUAAGGAUCGGCUAACUCCGUGCCAGCAGCCGCGGUAAUACGGAGGAUGCGAGCGUUAUCCGGAUUUAUUGGGGUUCAAGGGUGCGUAGUUUGUUUUUUAAGGCAGCGGUGAAAGUUUGUGGCUCCACCAUAAAAGUGCCGUUGAAACUGGCAGCCUUGCGUGUGUUUGAGGUAGGCCGAUUUCGUGGUGUAGCGG
rnacentral:rRNA from 1 species